GUUUGAUUUUCUUAUUGAUGUUCUUCAUGCCACUGUCGCGUACACCAGGAUCGGUUUGACGUAGAUAUUGUGAACAGAAAGUCUAUUGGGGAAAAGGAUCGGACUGUGAUUAAGAACUGGGUAUAGAACUGCAUGGACUUCUUUUGCUUUUUGUACGGUACUUUUUAAAAUAAUUUGUUUAUCCAAGAUGAUGGCAGGAAGA